GUGUCAGCAGCCGCGGUAAUACGUAGGGGGCAAGCGUUGUCCGGAAUUAUUGGGCGUAAAGCGCGCGCAGGCGGUGCAUGAAGUCUUCUGUUUAAGACCAGGGCUCAACUCUGGUUCGCAGAGGAAACUGGUGGACUGGAGUGCAGGAGAGGAAAGUGGAAUUCCACGUGUAGCGGUGAAAUGCGUAGAGAUGUGGAGGAACACCAGUGGCGAAGGCGACUUUCUGGCCUGUAACUGACGCUGAGGCGCGAAAGCGUGGGGAGCAAACAGGAUUAGAUACCCUGGUAGUCC
rnacentral:rRNA from 1 species